ensembl:lncRNA
UCCCCUCUUGGUUUGGGUCGCCGUUGAUGGAGGGUUCCCGUUGGUUUGCGUUCCCAUUGAUGAGCUUUGCCGUUAAUUGGGGUUCUCAUUAAUUUUAGGUCUCAUUAAUGAGGGUAACCAUUAAUUUAAGACUCAUUAAUUCGGGUAGCCAUUAAUUUAUGACCUAUUAAUUGGGAUUCCCUUAAUUGGGGUCCCCUCUGGGUUUGGGUCGCCAUUGAUUGCGGGAUCCCAUUGGUUUACAUUCCCAUUGAUGAGCUUUACCAGUAAUUGGGGUUCUCGUUAAUUUUAGGUCUCAUUAAUUAGGGUAACCAUUAAUUUAAGUCUUAUUAAUUGGGGUAGCCGUUAAUUUAUGACCC